UACGGAGGGUGCAAGCGUUAUCCGGAUUCACUGGGUUUAAAGGGUGCGUAGGUGGGUUGGUAAGUCAGUGGUGAAAUCUCCGAGCUUAACUUGGAAACUGCCAUUGAUACUAUCAGUCUUGAAUACCGUGGAGGUCAGCGGAAUACGUCAUGUAGCGGUGAAAUGCUUAGAUAUGACAUAGAACACCAAUUGCGAAGGCAGCUGACUACGCGAAUAUUGACACUGAUGCACGAAAGCGUGGGGAUCAAACAGG
rnacentral:rRNA from 1 species